AUUGAACGCUGGCGGCAUGCCUUACACAUGCAAGUCGAACGGCAGCACGGGAGCAAUCCUGGUGGCGAGUGGCGAACGGGUGAGUAAUAUAUCGGAACGUGCCCAGUCGUGGGGGAUAACGUAGCGAAAGCUACGCUAAUACCGCAUACGAUCUAUGGAUGAAAGCGGGGGAUCGCAAGACCUCGCGCGAUUGGAGCGGCCGAUAUCAGAUUAGGUAGUUGGUGGGGUAAAGCCUACCAAGCCUUCGAUCUGUAGCUGGUCUGAGAGGACGACCAGCCACACUGGAACUGAGACACGGUCCAGACUCCUACGGGAGGCAGCAGUGGGGAAUUUUGGACAAUGGGCGCAAGCCUGAUCCAGCAAUGCCGCGUGCAGGAUGAAGGCCUCGGUUGUAACUGCUUUGUACGGACGAAACGGUUACUUUUAAUAAAGUAGAGCUAAUGACGGUACCGUAAGAAUAAG
rnacentral:rRNA from 1 species